GCUGCAAAAUUAUUGUUAUUAAUUAAUAAAGUUUCAUUAAAACGGAGUGUGUGUGUCUAUAUAUAUAUAUUGUUAUCUUUCUAUGGCUUAUAGUUUACAAUGUUGAAGCAUUUUGAGAGAUGUCACAUCAUCACAAAGACUAAUUUUGAAGAGGUUGUGAGGAGGAUAAGUUUAGUUUAAUUGUUGUCUCAAAAACAACAAUUCAUGUGGAGAAGGUAACCUAAUUGAAAUGAUAUGAUGCACUUUCCGAAUUUUUCAUCAUCUAAAAAUUUGAAUGGAUAAUUUUUUUUUUAAUAUAAACUACUUUCAGCUAAACUAUUAAGGGAAUUAUUUUAGAUGGUUGGGUUGGAAAAAAAAGAGUUUGAUAUGCCCUGAAUAUCAAUCAUGGAGAUACCUUCAAAUUUACAAGAUAAGAAGAUAUCUAUAAAUAAAAUUAUUUGCUUCUUUAUUUCAUUGCAUUGAAUUCAUCUUAUCUUAUCUUAUAGUAUAAAAUCAUAACUUUAAGGUCUUUGAAAAUAGCGGAAAAAUACAAUUAUUUGGUGCAUACAUAAAUACAAAAUGACAGCUCCUUGAAUAUUCUAACAUAGAAUAUAUUGUACAAUUCUUUUGUUUGAGCAAGAACUCGUUCAUCCUAACCAACCAUUUGUACAAAAGCCUUUACGACAUCUACCCUUAAUUUUUUUAUCAUCUGGACAAUCUUUAUCUGUUAUACAAGGCAGAAAAAUAAUACUAGAAUCACAUGCUACUAUAACAAGAAAUAUGAAAAUAAGCAGAAUCAGAACAUUAACAAACUUAAGAAUUUCAGCCAUAUUUUUCACUCUUUGCAUCUCAAGUAAGAUAUGGUUUGAUCUAUUUAUAGUGUAUAAAGUUCAUACUAUUAUAAUCAUUAAAUAGUUUAAAAAUUUAAAAAACUCUUCAUAAAAUUAGAAUAAUACUAAAUGCCUCUUAGGAAUAUAUAUAUAUAUAUAUAUAUAUAUGUUGUAUUGGCCCAUUGUCACACUUAGAGAGGAGUUCAAAUAAUAAAAUUGAUAAUCAUAAGAAUUACAUUAUCAAUUUUAUUAAAUUAAGAUAUAUUAUGUGAAGAACUUAGACAAUAGUUUGACAAUUUUUAGUACGAUAUCACACUGGUCAUGCAACUUACUCUCCCACUAAGUUUCCUUAACUACACCGUCAUCUUCCACCAACAAACACCAUGACCACCGUACCAACCACGGCUUAACCCUUUUUAAUUUCAUGGCCUUGCUUGCAGGAUUAAAACUUAAUUACCACCACCAUCAACAACAUCUAAACCUAAAACUUCAUAUUUUACUCAACGAAAAAACCUUUGCCCAGACUUUGACCAACGUUUGUGACAUUCCACAUAGUCAGCUUCUGAAACCAUGUGUUAAAGGCGAUGAUAUUUCUAUCCCAUAUGAGGAAUAUGAAGUUGGAUUGGAGGCAUAUUGAUAGACAUUUUAGCAAGCGUAUUAAAUACUAUCGAAGUAGUAAAAAUAAGUUCGUAUCCACGAGGACUGAUUUAAUCUCAAUUUAUCAAUAAAGUAAAUAUUUAGGAUGUAUAAAUUAUUUUGUUUAGAUUUGAUUUGAUUGCAUAAAAUUAAAUAACAGGAAAUAAAGAUUCGUUUUGAAAAUAUAGAUUUGGUUAGAAAAUAUGAAGAGAGAUGAGAUCAGGUCUUUUGAAUCAUCUAUGUUCCCCUAAUUGGUAUACUACACCUAUUCUUAUGAAUGAUUUUCUAGUUCCACGAUAGUUAACAAAAUAGUCUUAAUCCAUCCCUUGACUUGGGACCCACUUCUCAAACUACUGCCCCUAAUUCCUUAGGUGGUCUAAUUAUCUUUGAAGGUUUAAGCACGUUAACCUAAUAUCACUAAAAAACGAUUAUCCAUUCCUAGACUAACCCUGUUUAUUAGAACAAUUCAAUUCUGUCUAAGUAGAAAGUUAUGGUCAGUAGUCGUUCAUUUUCAUUAAAUCAUGUUUAUAUUUGAUCAGGAUAUAAAAAGCAUUAAGAACAAUUGAAUUGAAUAAAAACUAGAUAGUCAUUCACAAUAAAUAGAGUUUCACAACAACAUGGUUCAAUUAGGGUUACAAAGAAUCAUCUCAGGCCUAAUCUCUAAGAGAUUUAGCUACUCAUAAUUCAGUUUACAAAUAGCAUAAUCAAUAGUGGAAUCAAAACAUACAUGAACUGAUAAGGUUGAAGAAAUCGCCCUCCUAGCUGUCUUUAGGUCUCAAAAUCGCACUUUGCUCUCUCCAAUUCGUAACCCUUGUCUUCAGAAUAGUCUUCAGCUUAAAUAGGCAAGAACUGCUCCUAAAAUUGUGGCACGAUUUAAGUAAAUUGUGACACGUUUCUUCCUUGUGUAAAAAACCACCAAAAUUAUGGUUUCCAUAAUUGUGUCACGUUUUUGCCAUCGUGACACGUUUUCACCAAUGCCGAAUGCAUAUUUCUUGAAAGCUCCAAAUCGUGUCACGUUUUUCAGUAAUUGUGACACGAUCCCCGUUUUUUCAGUUUCUCCAGUUUUUCUUGCUUUUCUUGCUGCUUAAGCUUGCUUGUGAACUCAAAAAUAUCAUAAAAAAGACUCUGAAAAUAACGAAUGACUGACUGUCAUCACAACCCGAAACUUGAACCAUUUCUUGUCCUCUAGGAAUUUACUUGUAAUAUUGACAAUCGACAGUAAAAUAACAAUUACCUGAUCAAGCGAUAGUACCCAAAAUUUCAACACCUUACUAGCUAAAUAUGAGCUAGUUUGACUUGUUAGCAACCACUAAUUCACAACUCCACGCAACAAUAUGAAAGGGUUCACACACAGUCGACAUGCAACCUACAUAUUACCAUACGCUUGAAAAGUUUCUAAACGUCAAUCAAAAUCAAUGUCAAUGCACAUUUUGAGGUCUUAAAGGAUUAUAAUGGGGCUUAGGUGAAGGUGGGAUAAUAUUUGGAUAAGUAGGCUACACAAAAUUCAAUCCAUCAUUCAUUCAGCUUUUGGAACAACAAUUCUUGCAAGGGUUGAUGACAGUCAGUCAUUCACUAUUUUUAGAGUCUUUUUCAUGAUAUUUUGAGUUCACAAGCAAGUUUAAACAGCAAAGAAAACAAGAGAAAUAGAAGAUUUUGAAGAAAGCAAAAUCGUGUCACGAUUGUCGAAAACGUGUCACGAUUUGGAGCACAGGAUGAGGUUCAUUCGACAUUGGUUAAAAUGUGUCACGAUGGCUAUUUCGUGACACGAUUUUAGGAACAUGUGGCACAAGGAAAGAAAUAAACGCAAGAGAAAAUAGGAUCAAAAAGAGCAAAACAGGAGGUGUCAAGAAGCAAUGGAUUUAAGAAUUUAUAUGGGCUUAUGUUUGAUCCAAGAAAAGAAAGAAAUACGUGACAUGCUUGGGGAGAAAGGAAGAAACUAGGUUACAAGGCUAUAAAAGGACAUUGAUGUUACAGCACAAGAUUUAUUCACGCUUUUGGAGCAUUACGGCGGAAUCACGAUUUGGAGAAAAGCUACGCUUUUGGAGCAUUACGUACACACCUUGGAAAAAAGUAGCAUCACAUAUUGAAGAAAUUCCUAUGAGUGUAACAUCUCUCUGUAACUUCUUUUAACUUUGUUGCUUAAUUCUUUUAUUAUGUGUGGUUAGUCUCCUAGAGAUUAGGUCUGAGAUGAAUCCUUGUAACCCUAAUUGAUCCAUGUUGCUGUGAAACUCUAUUUAUUAUUAAUGACAAUUUAGUUUUUAUUCAAUUCAAUUGUUCUUAAUGCUUUUUAUAUUCUGAUCAAAUAUAAACAUGAUUUAGUGAGAAUGAAUGACUACUGAUCAUAGCUUUCUACUUAGACAGAAUUGAAUUGUUCUAAUAAACAGGGUUAGUCUAGGAAUGGAUAAUCGUUUGUUAGUGAUAUUAGAUUAACGUGCUUAAACCUUCAAAGAUUAUUAGACCACCUAAGGAAUUAGGGGAUGUAGUUUGAGAAGAGGGUCCUAACUCAAGGGAUUGAUUAGAACUAUUUUGUUAACUAUCGUGGUACUAGAGAAUCAUUCAUAAGAAUAGGUGCAGUAUACCAAUUAGGGGAACAUCGAUGACUCGAAAGACCUAGUCUCAUCUCUCUUAUUAUUUUCCAAACAAAUCUUUAUUUUCUGUUUAUUUAAUUUUAUGCAAUCAAAUCAAAACUACUGCCUCAGGCAUUAAAAUAAUUUACACAUCCUAAAUAUUAACCUUAUUGCUAAAUUGAGAUUAACACAGUCCUCGUGGGAACGAUAUUUUUACAACUUCGAUAAUAUUUUGUACACUUGCUAAAAAAUCUAUCAAGGGUACUAGAUAUUAUUUAACAAUUUGGAUAAUCGAGUUUGAAGUUACUCGGUUUUUCAAUGUCUUGUCCCUUUUUCAUUCUAUUCUCUCUGUUUUUUUUUUAAUACACCAUUUUGGCAUAUCGUUUUCAUGAGAAUGUUAUUUUUUUAUUUUCUUUUUCUUUGUUCUCUAGUACCCCCACCCCAAACUUAGUUGGUUGCAAAUUCCAAUAGCAACCCCAAACUUAAUAUUUAGCAACAUUCUACAAUGCCUAACUCAGAAAAACAAUAAGGGAUAAAUCCUAAAAGUCUCUAAGCUUGUAGUGUAGUUUGUCACCGAACAAAAAGAUCUAAACAUACCGGCUCAAUUUGGCUAAAGAAAGGAUAAUUAUUCAAAUAUAAACAGGGUAGGCUUCAAAAAGGCUCACAGGACCAAACACUUUUGCCUCAGUGUGCUAAUGACAAAGAUCAAUCGACAAUAGAGAAAAAUUGCAAGUUCUAGAAAUGUAAAUGCAUGGAAAACUCUUUAGAAGUAAAUUGAAAAAUAAAAUUUGGCCAUGAACCUUACAGUUUAGAAAACUCUAAAAUAUUUUGAAAUUGAGUAUUAAAAUAUUUUCUUCCAUUCAUAAUUAAUACUGAUGGGAUAAAACCGCAAGUGCACGGUCUUACCGAAGUAGUAAAAUAAGAGUAUCGUUCCUACAGGGAGUUAUGAAUUCAAUUAACUUUUAAUGAUGAUUAGAUGAAAUGAUUUUUAGAUAAAAGUUUGGAUUUUUAAUUACAAGAAAAUAAAUAAGAUAAAAGCCUUGGAAUCAUUGGUUCAUCCUAAUGACAAGUCCUUCAUAAACCAAACAAUUAAACUUAUAACCUUAUGUUAGACCUAAUUUCUCAAGACAGUUUCUCUUUUGUUCCUCUAGCAACCAAGCCUAUUUCGCUGACUUGAUUACUAUUAGAUUUUGGUUCCUCUAACAACCAAGCCUNUUUAGUCUUUUUAUUUUCUUUUGUUGAGAACCUAAACAGGGAUGGUUAUGUUGGACAAAUUUUAUGCUUCUGUUUAUUCCUUUAUGUUGUAGUACUGUUCGUACUUAAAAUAUUUAUGUAGUAGGAAUCCCAAAACUACUUUUGAAUCAAGAAUGGUUUUUCAAUUGAAUGUGAUCUUAUGCUUUUGUAUUCCAACGUGUAUCACUUGGGAGGAUCACUAAUGGAGUUUGGAACUUUGAAGGAAAUAAACUAAAGGGUUGUUUGCCCACUCCAGUGAUCCAUUCUAUUCACUUCGACGACCUAUUUUGUUAUACGAAAGAAAAAGGAAAAAAAAAAAAAAACAACCAUCUUUCUUCCUCCUAAGAUUUUUUUUUUUUUUGCUAGUAAUUAUUUCACAAUUUGGGAUGUUACAGCGAUUGUCCUCGGAGCUGGAGGGGGACCAAGAGCGUCUGUUGCGUCUUCGUGGGGAUCUCCUUGGAGGAGAUCGUUUGCGUGACCUCCUUCUGGUUGACCUCCUGGUAUGGCUUAGAGAUCUAACGUUGAUUGAGUGCCGAUGGGAUCUGGAACGCGAGUGGCGAGGGCUCCUUCCUCUUCUAAUACGUGUUGAGUAAGGAGUCUGUUUGGUUUGAAUUACCUGGAGAGCUUGCUCCAGAUCCAUUAGGUGUCGGUUCUGUUCCUCGAUUAACGAUGUUUGUCAUUGAAUCGUGCGGAUCAGGUUGCUGACGAGUGCACCAGUUGGUGUGGCAUCUUUUGGCGUUUCUGGAAGUCAUAGAGGACCUUGCAGAGGCCUUUCUUGGAGAGGAAUUAUUUGUACGGGUUCCUCUCGGGGAGUACCCAUAGGAUAAGUUGAAGAUGCCAUUCCGUUCUGUUAAGGGACACGAAUUUCACUUCGUAUUUGUGAGCUGGCGCCGUUGGCAGUCAUGGUAGUUUUUUGGAAAGCUUUGGUUUUUAGUAGGAUAAAAACGGGAGGUGGAGGCUGCAGGGCCGUUGUAAAGGCACACCUGUGUACCUGUUUGGCGGUUACGAAAUAGUGGAACUGUAAACGCUAGAGAAAUAAUUGCGGGAACGUGCAAAGAAACGUUGUGGCUCGUAGGAACUGGUCUCGCUUGCUCCGUGCACCCCUUUCGCGGGAAAGGGGUGUGUCGCAAAUAAUAUUGUGAAACGUGGUAUAUGGCUUGGAUUGUAUUGGGCCUAAGUAAAUGGGUCUAAGAUCCUUUUGACCGGUUCCGAACAAAUAACAUACUCAAUAAAUUUAAAUUAAAACACAACAACUCUUGGUCUUGAACUCUACAUCCUAGAAAAGAAAUUUAAACUAGAGAAGGUGUUUCCAUGAAAGGUUAUUAUGGAAGAAAAAAAACUAAAGUUUGACACUAACCCUUCAUAUAUAAGAUGCUGCAAAAUUAUUGUUAUUAAUUAAUAAAGUUUCAUUAAAACGGAGUGUGUGUGUCUAUAUAUAUAUAUUGUUAUCUUUCUAUGGCUUAUAGUUUACAAUGUUGAAGCAUUUUGAGAGAUGUCACAUCAUCACAAAGACUAAUUUUGAAGAGGUUGUGAGGAGGAUAAGUUUAGUUUAAUUAUAGUCUCAAAAACAACAAUUCAUGUGGAGAAGGUAACCUAAUUGAAAUGAUAUGAUGCACUUUCCGAAUUUUUCAUCAUCUAAAAAUUUGAAUGGAUAAUUUUUUUUUUAAUAUAAACUACUUUCAGCUAAACUAUUAAGGGAAUUAUUUUAGAUGGUUGGGUUGGAAAAAAAAGAGUUUGAUAUGCCCUGAAUAUCAAUCAUGGAGAUACCUUCAAAUUUACAAGAUAAGAAGACAUCUAUAAAUAAAAUUAUUUGCUUCUUUAUUUCAUUGCAUUGAAUUCAUCUUAUCUUAUCUUAUAGUAUAAAAUCAUAACUUUAAGGUCUUUGAAAAUAGCGGAAAAAUACAAUUAUUUGGUGCAUACAUAAAUACAAAAUGACAGCUCCUUGAAUAUUCUAACAUAGAAUAUAUUGUACAAUUCUUUUGUUUGAGCAAGAACUCGUUCAUCCUAACCAACCAUUUGUACAAAAGCCUUUACGACAUCUACCCUUAAUUUUUUUAUCAUCUGGACAAUCUUUAUCUGUUAUACAAGGCAGAAAAAUAAUACUAGAAUCACAUGCUACUAUAACAAGAAAUAUGAAAAUAAGCAGAAUCAGAACAUUAACAAACUUAAGAAUUUCAGCCAUAUUUUUCACUCUUUGCAUCUCAAGUAAGAUAUGGUUUGAU
rnacentral:lncRNA from 1 species